GACGGAGGGUGCAAGCGUUGUUCGGAAUUACUGGGCGUAAAGGGCUCGUAGGCGGCCAACUAAGUCGGACGUGAAAUCCCUCAGCUUAACUGGGGAACUGCGUCUGAUACUGGAUGGCUUGGAUUUGGGAGAGGGAUGCGGAAUUCCAGGUGUAGCGGUGAAAUGCGUAGAUAUCUGGAGGAACACCGGUGGCGAAGGCGGCAUCCUGGACCAACAUUUGACGCUGAGGAGCGAAAGCCAGGGGAGCAAACGGG
rnacentral:rRNA from 1 species